GUGGGGAAUCUUGCGCAAUGGGCGAAAGCCUGACGCAGCCAUGCCGCGUGGAUGAUGAAGGUCUUAGGAUUGUAAAAUCCUUUCACCGGUGAAGAUAAUGACUGUAGCCGGAGAAGAAGCCCCGGCUAACUUCGUGCCAGCAGCCGCGGUAAUACGAAGGGGGCUAGCGUUGCUCGGAUUUACUGGGCGUAAAGGGCGCGUAGGCGGACAUUUAAGUCAGGGGUGAAAUCCCGGGGCUCAACCUCGGAACUGCCUUUGAUACUGGGUGUCUUGAGUAUGAGAGAGGUGUGUGGAACUCCGAGUGUAGAGGGGAAAUUCGUAGAUAUUCGGAAGAACACCAGUGGCGAAGGCGACACACUGGCUCAUUACUGACGCUGAGGCGCGAAAGCGUGGGGAGCAAACAGGAUUAGAAACCCCUGUAGUCC
rnacentral:rRNA from 1 species